GACGAACGCUGGCGGCGUGCUUAACACAUGCAAGUCGAACGGAAAGGCCCUGCUUUUGUGGGGUGCUCGAGUGGCGAACGGGUGAGUAGCACGUGAGUAACCUGCCCUUGACUUUGGGAUAACUUCAGGAAACUGGGGCUAAUACCGGAUAGGAGCUCCUGCUGCAUGGUGGGGGUUGGAAAGUUUCGGCGGUUGGGGAUGGACUCGCGGCUUAUCAGCUUGUUUGUGGGGUAGUGGCUUACCAAGGCUUUGACGGGUAGCCGGCAUGGGAGGGUGACCGGCGACAUUGGGACUGCGAUACGGAGCAGACUCCUACGGGCGGCAGCAGUGGGGAAUAUUGCACAAUGGGCGGAAGCCUGAUGCAGAAACGCCGCGUGCGGGAUGACGGCCUUCGGGUUGUAAACAGCUUUCGCAUGUGACGAAGCGUGAGUGACGGUAAUGGGUAAAGAAGCACCGGCUAACUACGUG
rnacentral:rRNA from 1 species